GAAAUGCGAUAAGUAAUGCGAAUUGCAGAAUCCGUGAGUCAUCGAAUCUUUGAACGCAUAUUGCGCCCUUUGGCAUUCCGAAGGGCAUGCCUGUUCGAGCGUCAUUAUCACCCCUCAAGCCCCGGCUUGGUGUUGGGCUCUCGGCGGUCGCACCCGACCACCCGCCUUAAAGAUAGUGACGGCGUCCCAGAGGGAACCGGUACGAGGAGCUUUCACGAGCAUGUACGCGGGACGACUCUGCGGGCGACGGUCUUUUUUUACUUCAUAUAAGUGUUGACCUCGGAUCAGGUAGGAAUACCCGCUGAACUUAA
rnacentral:misc_RNA from 1 species